rnacentral:rRNA from 1 species
AGGGCACCGCCGCGAGUGGAGCCUGCGGCUAAUUUUGACUCAGCCCGGGGAAACUUACCCGGCCUGGACACUGGAAGGAUUGACAGAUUGAGAGCUCUUUCUUGAUUCAUCGGGUGGUGGUGCCUGACAGUUCAAUGUUGGUGGAGGAAUUUGGCGAGUUGAGUCGCAUGGCUGACGACACUCCGUGUUAUGAAAUGUGCUCCCGGCUUUUAAACCCCGGGAGGACUUUAUAGAGGGACAGGUGGCGGUUGCCCGAACUCAAGAGAGCCUGCCAGGUCUGUGAGCCCUUUGUGGGGAUGACCGCAGUCAUCCUGGCCCUUACAAAUCAGCGUGCUUUAUGUUCCUGCUGCCACCGGAGUGGGGAACCCACUGCACCUUCUUCAGCGGACGUAUAAAAGAGUGUAAUUAUUCUUAUUGAAGUCUGCAUUUCCACUCAAUGCAAGUCGAAUCCCUACGUAGAUUACAUCCCUGCGCCACGGUGACACCGCCCGUCGCUACUGCACACACCACCCGUCACAC